rnacentral:tRNA from 1 species
GCUGCGGCUGGCCGACCCGGAUGCGCGCGCCGAAUGGUCCUCGGCAGCACUGCAAUUCGUGGGGACGCUGCUGUUCAACCUCAGCACCGGGGCC